AUGAAAAUUAUGGUUUGGAACUGCCGGGGUUUGGGGAAUGGCCCGGCUGUUCGGGGGCUUCUGGACCUCCAGAAGCAGGAGGACCCCAACAUCCUCUUCUUAUCUGAAACAAGGAUGGAUGAGAUAAGGAUGUUGUGGUUUAAGUACUUGCUAGGGAUGACAAGCACAGUGGUGAGGGGUUGUGUAGGAAGAAGUGGGGGCUUGCUAUGCUAUGGAAGAAUCAUGUAA
rnacentral:rRNA from 1 species